GACGAACGCUGGCGGCGUGCCUAAUACAUGCAAGUCGAACGCAGUGGGGACGGGUGAGUAACACGUGGGUAACCUCCCAUCAGAGGGGAUAACACUUGGAAACAGGUGCAUAACCGAUACUGAUGGAUGGACCCGCGGUGCAUUAGCCAGUUGGUGAGGUAACGGCUCACCAAGGCCACGAGGCAUAGCUGACCUGAGAGGGGGCUCUGCCACACUGGAACUGAGCCACGGCCCAGACUCCUACGGGAGGCAGCAGUAGGGAAUCUUCGGCAAUGGGCGCAAGUCUGACCGAGCAACGCCGCGUGAGUGAAGAAGGUUUUCGGAUCGUAAAUCUCUGUUGUUAGAGAAGCGGUAUCUAACCAGAAAGCCACGGCUAACUACGUGCCAGCCGCCGCGGUAAUUC
rnacentral:rRNA from 1 species